AUGAACGUUGGCGGCGUGGAUUAGGCAUGCAAGUCGUGCGGAAAGGCUCCUUCGGGAGUACUCGAGCGGCGUAAGGGAGAGUAACGCGUGGAUAUCUACCCCCUGGUCUGGGAUAGCGGCGGGAAACUGCCGGUAAUACCAGAUAAUGUCUGCGGACCAAAGGUGUGAUUCCGCCGGGGGAUGAGUUCGCGUCCUAUUAGCUAGUUGGUGGGGUAAUGGCCUACCAAGGCAAAGAUGGGUACCGGGUGUGAGAGCAUGGCCCGGCUCACUGGGACUGAGACACUGCCCAGACACCUACGGGUGGCUGCAGUCGAGAAUCUUCGGCAAUGGGCGAAAGCCUGACCGAGCGACGCCGCGUGCGGGAUGAAGGCCUUCGGGUUGUAAACCGCUGUCAGAGGGGAGGAAAUGCAUGAGGGUUCUCUCUCGUGUUUGACCUAUCUUCAGAGGAAGUACGGGCUAAGUUCGU
rnacentral:rRNA from 1 species